CGCAUCUGUGCAUGCAGCAUAUCAAUAAGCGGAGGAAAAGAAACUAACAAGGAUUCCCCUAGUAACGGCGAGUGAAGCGGGAAGAGCUCAAAUUUGAAAUCUUAAAGGGUUUCCCUUUACGAAUUGUAGUUUAAAGAAGUGUUUUCUGUUGAGGUUUUGGUAAAAGUUCUUUGGAAUAGGACAUCAUAGAGGGUGAGAAUCCCGUAUUUGACCUUUACUUUCAACUUUGUGAUACACCUUCAAAGAGUCGGAUUGUUUGGGAAUGCAGUCCAAAAUGGGUGGUAAAUUUCAUCUAAAGCUAAAUAUUGGCGAGAGACCGAUAGCGAACAAGUACCGUGAGGGAAAGAUGAAAAGAACUUUGAAAAGAGAGUUAAACAGUACGUGAAAUUGUCAAAAGGGAAGCGUUUGACACCAGUGUUGUUUUUCUGAAAAUCAAUUAAAGAACUGUUUAUGCUAAGUUGUUUAGACUUUAUCAGCUAUCUGCUUAGUUUUGAGCUUUUCUUUAAUGCACUUUUCAGUUAACAAGUCAACAUCAAUUUCUUUUGCUGUAAAAAAGCUUGAGGAAGGUGGCUUGAGAUUCGUCUUAAGUGUUUAUAGCCUCUUGCCUAUGCAGUCGGAGAGAUUGAGGUCUGCAGCGUAGAUCCUUCGGGGCUAAAUGCAUUUGUGCUAAGUUAUAGCAUUUUAUAGACAACUUGUUGACUAUGAUUUGUCUUGUAGCUUACUCGCUUAUGUUAUUUUACCUACGCUUAGGAUGUUGAAUCUGUGCGAGACUAC
rnacentral:rRNA from 1 species